GGUACUAUGGCUUAGUUGGUUAAAACACCUGCCUAAUGAGCAGGGAGUCCUGGGUUCAAAUCUCAGUGGUACCU